rnacentral:rRNA from 1 species
GGGGAAUAUUGCACAAUGGGCGCAAGCCUGAUGCAGCAACGCCGCGUGAGGGAUGACGGCCUUCGGGUUGUAAACCUCUUUUGUCAGGGAAGAAGCGAAAGUGACGGUACCUGGAGAAAAAGCACCGGCUAACUACGUGCCAGCAGCCGCGGUAAUACGUAGGGUGCAAGCGUUGUCCGGAAUUAUUGGGCGUAAAGAGCUCGUAGGCGGCUUGUCGCGUCUGCUGUGAAAACCCGAGGCUCAACCUCGGGCCUGCAGUGGGUACGGGCAGGCUAGAGUGCGGUAGGGGAGAUUGGAAUUCCUGGUGUAGCGGUGGAAUGCGCAGAUAUCAGGAGGAACACCGAUGGCGAAGGCAGAUCUCUGGGCCGCUACUGACGCUGAGGAGCGAAAGCAUGGGGAGCGAAC